rnacentral:rRNA from 1 species
UGGGGAAUUUUGGACAAUGGGGGCAACCCUGAUCCAGCCAUGCCGCGUGCGGGAAGAAGGCCUUCGGGUUGUAAACCGCUUUUAGCCGGGACGAAAGCGCCGCGGAUAACACCUGCGGCGGUUGACAGUACCGGCGGAAUCAGCACCGGCUAACUACGUGCCAGCAGCCGCGGUAAUACGUAGGGUGCGAGCGUUAAUCGGAAUUACUGGGCGUAAAGCGUGCGCAGGCGGUUCGUUGUGUCGGUGGUGAAAGCCCCGGGCUUAACCUGGGAAUGGCCAUGGAAACUGGCGAACUGGAGUGCGGCAGAGGGGGGUGGAAUUCCGCGUGUAGCAGUGAAAUGCGUAGAGAUGCGGAGGAACACCGAUGGCGAAGGCAGCCCCCUGGGUCGACACUGACGCUCAGGCACGAAAGCGUGGGGAGCAA